UGUUAUUAUGUUCACCAAAAAAAAUACAUUUGAAAAUAUGAAUAGGAUGGUAAUUACAGGAUAGUAAUUCAACGCACAAUACGUGUCAUUCCUCUCAUAAUUUAAUCACUGUAUCAAAUGUUUCAUCCACUAGAAAUCCUUACAUUCCACACAGAGCUCCUGGAAUGAUCAAUGAAUUCUCGAUAAAACAACGGUUGUGCCACCUGCUGGCACGUCAUUGUCCUCCUGGCCAAUCACACUAAUGUACCCGGAGAGACACUUCCCGUGCGCUCCUGGAGAUUCCACAGCCUUCCGUAAUUAGUGCCCGGUCCUUGGCGGGUACGCUGACCCGCGAACAGACUAGUUAAGCAAGGCGCGAGCGGCAAGGCUGGGCACACUGUCGGAGGGCUUCAACGACUUUGUUUGGACUGACCUAUGAAACUGUGGCGAACUGUGGACUGCGUCCUUAUGCCAAAUAUAUCGUCCUCGGCUUUAUCCGUCAAUUAAUACCGUUGUUUGUAAGAGACACCAUGACCCAGUCGGAGGAUAAGCACUCACAAGUGGACGGCACAGAUACUGAAAUGGGGGUCAUAGACGCUGAAAUGCACUCCACUGAAAGGUGACUUCCAGCCACUUCACCUUCCCAAACUUUUGAAAUCAAUUCAUGGAGAAUGGAGAGAUUCCAGACCAUGUGGCAGUCAGAUUUUUAUUUUAUUUUUAUUAUUUUACCCCCUUUUUCGUGAUAUCCAAUUGCUGGUAGUUACUGUCUUGUCUCAUCGCUACAACUCCCGCACGGACUCGGGAGAGGCGAAGGUCGAGAGCCAUGCGUCCUCCGAAACACAACCCAACCAAGCCGCAAUACUUCAUAACACAGCACGCAUCCAACACGGAAGCCAGCCGCACCAAUGUGUCAGAGGACACACCGUACACCUAGCGACCUGGCCAGUGUGCACUGCGCCCGGCCCACCACAGGAGUAGCUAGUGCGCGAUGAGACAAGGAUAUCCCUGCCGGCCAAACCCUCCCUAACCCGGACGACGCUAGGCCAAUUGUGUGCCGCUCCAUGGGCCUCUCAGUCGCGGCCGGCUGCAACAGAGCCUGGGAUCGAAGCCAGAGUCUCUGGUGGCACAGCUAGCACUGCGAUGCAGUGCCUUAGACCACUGCGCCACCCGGGAGGCCUAAAGUCAGAUUUUUAAGGAUUGCGACCUACGUAGAAAGGCUAGUUACGUGACUCAUGUUCAAUAUUGUUCAAUCAACUGGUGUCCUUCAAAAUAGCCUCCAGAUAUAGUUUAUUUAUGAUUAUGCAUUGGCUCAGAUUUGUGUAGUUAAUACACUGACCUAUGGGUUGAUAUAAGUGCAACCCCCUACCACACAAUAUCAUUCGGACUUGAUUGACAUUGGCAAUAUACUCCCAAAUAUUUUGUGCUUAACUAACCACUCAAAUGGUGGCCUAAAUUGAUGAUGGACGUCUGAUUGAUGAUGGACGUUUUUGAAAACAAAAAGAGAAGGGCCAUUCAGUUUUAUAUGAACACUUUUCCAUCCAUACUGACAGAGAUGAGUUUCAAUUGUAUUUCAACAGAGGCUUGCAGGGCCAGAUUGACUAUUUGAGGCAAUGUUCUGUAUGCUAAACAAGAUUGACUUCAUGAUCGAUAGAACAGGCCUUACGUCAGGUCAAAAUAAUUGUUUCAAGCUCUGCUGGGGUAUACAUGGGCUCUCCAAUCUGCCUGGUUAUAAAUCCGAUAGAACUGUGUCAACAUCCGUUUGUGAAACU
rnacentral:lncRNA from 13 species